UGCCAGCCGCCGCGGUAAUACGAGGGGUGCGAGCGUUGUCCGGAAUCACUGGGCGUAAAGGGUCCGUAGGCGUUUCAACAAGUCAUUUGUUAAAGACACCGGCUUAACCGGUGGAGUGCAUUUGAAACUUAUGAAAUAGAGUAUAGGAGAGGAAAGUGGAAUUCCUGGUGUAGCGGUGACAUGCGUAGAUAUCAGGAGGAACACCAAUGGCGAAGGCAACUUUCUGGCCUAUUACUGACGCUGAGGGACGAAAGCGUGGGGAGCGAACAGGAUUAGAUA
rnacentral:rRNA from 1 species